GACGAACGCUGGCGGCGUGCUUAACACAUGCCAGUCGAACGGAAAGGCCCCCACCUUGGUGGGGGUGCUCGAGUGGCGAACGGGUGAGUAACACGUGGGUGAUCUGCCCUGUACUUCGGGAUAAGCUUGGGAAACUGGGUCUAAUACCGGAUAGGACCAUGGUUUAGUGUCUCAUGGUGGAAAAAUUAUUGUUUUGGUGCAGGAUGAGCUCGCGGCCUAUCAGCUUGUUGGUGGGGUAAUGGCCUACCAAGGCGUCGACGGGUAGCCGGCCUGAGAGGGUGGACGGCCACAUUGGGACUGAGAUACGGCCCAGACUCCUACGGGAGGCAGCAGUGGGGAAUAUUGCACAAUGGGCGCAAGCCUGAUGCAGCGACGCCGCGUGGGGGAUGACGGCCUUCGGGUUGUAAACUCCUUUCGUUAGGGACGAAGCCACACCUUUUUUGGGUGUGGUGACGGUACCUUUGUUAAGAAGCACCGGCUAACUACGUG
rnacentral:rRNA from 1 species